rnacentral:lncRNA from 1 species
UGUAAACUUCAUAACCUUAGUCUGGGAAGCAAUUCAGCUCUAACUCACAGAUUCUAUUGAAGUUCAUCUGAACUUCAAAUUUAUGACCCUAAGAACGCAUCGACCUUAGCAUUUGUUCUCCUUGACAAAAACUUCAUGCAAAUGGGAGGUUUUACUCCAGCUAGAGCAAGUAUCGAACUAGGCAAAGUCCAUAUCCCAUCCCCACAAAUCAAACCAGAAGCCACUGCUGGCCCAAAAGCAUCUGCCUUUGCUUUGUCAAUAUUUCCCCAGAUAAAUAGAAUCAAGCUUCCCACACACAUGUCGAUGGCAAAGUAUGUGCCAAUAUAGAAAGGUAUAGCCAUGGCCAUUGGAUUGGGAAUGAACCUAGCCCGUUUCUUACCCAACACAUCCUUGAUCAAAUUUAUCAGAAUAGCUGCAGCGAAGAACCAAUAACAAAGAUAGAGACAAUUCUUUGGUAGAGAUGAGAAUCCUUCUACCCCCAAUAUAGCCAUGUUUCGAAAUACAGUAGCAUAAGGAGCAGGGUAUUGACUUCCAGGAGUCCCCAGAUCCUUGAAGGCCUUAAAAAAAAGCCAAAAUACACACGGGGAAAUCAUGCAACCCAUUGCAGUGCCAAUUAGUUGGCUCACAAACAUUGACCGUGGUGAAGAAAGGGUCAAAUAACCAGUCUUGAAAUCUUGAGAUAGGUCAGAGGCUGUGGAGACAAUAUUCAUCAUGACUCCACAGGCCGCUAGUCCUGCAAGAACUCCACCAUGAGAGGCACCAGCCCAUGCCCCAAUUACAAAAAUUGCAAGCGUCCCAUAGGUAGAAGCAAGGGACCAAUCAGUGAGUCCACAACCAUAAGCAUUACAGAAUGCAAGGGCUGGAGCAAAGAUGUAGAUAACCAAUAUGUAAUACCAUUUUAGUUCAGGAAAUAUAUGCGGAACGGUGGUUGUAGAAAUGGAAGCAAUUGUGACAUAACCUGCAACAGCAAACCAUGUUGGAAUUUGAUCUUUGAGAAAGAGGUGGGUGCGACGUUGCUCAUCAUAGGAGAUCCUGGAUGUCUCGGGAGAGGAACGGUCAGCAACAGGCAGAGCACCAGUUGCAUCUCUCCCACGAAGUUGAAAAAACAAUGCAGCGAGUGUUCGGCUUAGAACCUUGAAGAAGUUGUACAGACCGUCACCCAAGAUCAAGGCAGUGGCAAUAAAUACCUGUGUUCAAUGCAUAAGCGUUGGUAUGAAAGAAAAGGCUUCAAGAAAAUGUUAAAAAUCAUGUAAUGGGCAUUCUUGUCACCUUAACCUUGUUAGAAAACUUACCUUGUAACCUUGGAGGCCAUGUAAGCUGCCUGGUUUGAGGUCUGCUGGAUACCAGUCACCCUUUUUUGUAUCUAUGAGAGGCCACAUCAGACCCCAGGAAAGAAUUCCUCCAAGCAAUACUGAUAUGUUUAUGAUAUAUGGGCAAAUCAUUCCAACUCCAACAUAUGUUGCUGAGAAAUCAAAGAAAAAUCUGUACAUGUAACAAGAACAUUAUUAGUCAAAGAUACCCCAACGAAUUUGAAACAGAAUGCCAUAACAAAUGGAACUACAUUCAACAAGAAGAGAGGAUUUUGGAAGAUUGAGUAAUGUUUUUACUUGUUUUCAUGUGCUUUAAGACCAAGUGAGGGGAACUCAGCGAAUCCACAACCAUCUCCUGCAGUGUAGAACCAUUGAAAGAAACCCCACAAGAAGCUGAAUGAGAAGAACUUGCCCAACACUCUCACUUGUUUCCUGUAACAGUAGAAUAACAAAGUUCGAUACCCUUACAUGUCAAAUGAUCAUCCAUAUAAAUGCAUGAGGUCUGAUAAUGCCUUACUUUGCUAGCUUGGCUCCUGCAGGAGUGUGGAAGCUGUUGAUGAGAUGCGCAGUUGCAGUGCCACUUGGAUAUGUCAAUUUGAAGUCUAUAAUCAUGACCUGGAAAUAACCAGGGUAAGAAUGAGGAUUAGAUUUUGGCAAAAUCAAUACACUAGGCAAAAAUGUAAAAUGCAGAGAAAAGUUUUAUAUUUCCUAUAAUCAUAUAAAGAAAUUGAAUGCUGAUGCAGGUUGUAAAGUCUACCUUUCGAAGAGGCACCACCGAAAAGAGUCCAAGAAAGCUAACAACAAACAAAAAGCCAAUCAUCCAAGACAGAGAUGGAUUUUUAAAGGCAUCACUAUCUUCAGUUAAUUGUUUGGCCACGGUUUCACUCAUUCCAAACAGAUAACUCCCAAAGCCUCCUAUUAUAAGGAAACAAGGAAAAAAUUAUAGAAUGGAAACCAUUAGUACAAAAAUCAACAAGUUUAAUAGUAUCAUAAGCAUAAUCACAAAUUAGCCGUUUCAUUACAAUAAUUAAUUCAGUUUCGAAACAAGUUUGGCAAGUAUUCAGGCUUUUCUUGACUAUUUGGAUAAGUUAGAAAUAUAAUGUAUUCAUCUUGACAUUAUGUUAAUGAUUCACAGUUAAAGAAAAGGUUUGAUUAAUAACUCAAGCUCACAACUAGCAUUCUAGAAACAGAUAUUAUUCACAUUUUCCUUUCUUUUACUGAUGGAGAAGACUUCUUUUUCCACAAAUCAGAAUAUUGUUAUAAGACUUCCUGAUAUAAAUCUGAACUUAGCAAGUCAUCCAUAUCCAGAGCAUAUGAAUUGAAUUGUCAAAAAAGUAUCUGUCAAGUGACAUACCAGCUGCACCCCUAACAUUAUCACACUCCAGGAGACAGAGAUAGAUGUGUUCAUGUCUCUAAUGGUAAGUUCAAGUGUUGAUUAGUUUAGUAAAACUUCACAAGUGGUAGUCAUAAAGCCUCAAUUUUGAUUUGUCUCUCAAAGACUUUAGGCAGUAAGAGAUUCUUUGUCUUCAAGGAUCAUGCAAAUCUACUCACAUCUGAGAUAAAAGGGAUCCAGAGAGAGAAAAAUGGUUGCCUUAUCAUGUAAUCUAGCAAUUAGAAGAUGGAAAUCUUGACAUUGAAUUUUAGUAACUACUGUAAGUUUGCAACCUUUAAGAACAGAAACAAAACCAAAUGCACAGAAAUAUUAAUAUCUUGAUCAAAGAAACCUAGAUAUCUCCUAAAAUUCGAAAGAAAAGAGAAAGAAAAUUGAAUUUCAAAAUAAUUAAGAGAGAUGAAAUGAAAAUUAAUGGAAGUAAACAGUACAGAAAGUAUACCACUAAAGGCAAUGCCAGAGGAGGCAACCACGCAAGUCUGUAUUACAGUGUUCUCUUGCCUCGUAAAGGGUUGCUUGAAAAGUCCAGACUUUUCAAGAAACUUUGUCCAGGUCUUGAUAAAAAAGAAGCCCAGAAGGCCAGCAGAGACAUUGAGGGAAGGUAUGAUACCAGUUGUAAGAUUGAGCUUCAUUACUAUGACGCAGAACAAAAUGCUCAACACGAAGCUCACCACAAGGGCCCUCAGUGUCAGCUGAUUCCUCCAUGAUGGCACAUCUUGGUUCUCAAAUAUUCUUUCCACUGACAACUCUUCUUCUUGUUCCUCUUUCUUGUCCUUCUUUCUGUGAUCAUGAUCAUCCUCCAAAUCAUGAUCAUUCUCUACCUUGGCGUCGUCUCUUUCAUUACGUUCCAUUUUAUUUUCUUAAAAGAAUGAUUCUUUAUGGAGACGAAGAGAGUUGGGAGUGUGUUUAAUAAGUGGUUGUGAUUAUUGCUCAACGCAUCACAAGCGAAUUGAAGACGAUGAAUAUGAGGAGUUAAAAGUUAAAACGGGUUGUUGUAGUGAGUUUAACCUGUCUGUUUUUUUAGGUUAUUUUUUUUAAUUUUAAAUUAAUUUUUUUUUAAUUUUUUGAAUUAUUUUAAUAUAUUAAUAUUAAAAAUAAAUUUUAAAAUAUAAAAAAUAUAUUAUUUUAAUAUUUUUUAUCGAAAAUUAUUUUAAAAAAUAAUUAUUAUUAUAUUUUUAAACACUCUUUAAAAUAACAAAAUGACUCUAAAUGAAAUGUGUUUUAGUUAAGUUUGUAAUUUUUAUAUAUGUAAUCUGUAGGUACUUUUAAAGAAUUAGACUAGAAAUAUAAUAGAAAUUAUUUUUAAAAUAAUCUAAAAAUAUGUUUUUAAUAUUUUUUUGAAUUAAAAUUAAUAAUUAUUUUCAAAACAAUUUGAAAAUAAAAAAAAUUAAUUUUAAAAAGGAAUGUUUUAAGCAAGUUACCAAAUGGCCACUGAAUCCAAUGCCAAAAGCUUCUAUUUCUAAUUUGUGGAAGACGAGAAGUCAAUAGUCAAUUUCCAAAAAAUUAAAAAAAAAAUAAAGGGAAAAUAAAAGAUCUGUGAAUGUCCAUUGUCCAAAGUUUGUGGGAAAAAAAUGAUAUAAGAAAUAAAGAAAAUGAUAUUAAAUUACUUAAAGAAGCUAGACUAGAAUAUAGUUGAAUUUAAAACAAUUUAAAAACACUAUUUUAAUAGUUUUUAAAUUAAAAAUAAUUUAAAAAAUAAUUAUUACUAAACUCCCAAAAACCUUUAAAACAACAAAGUAACCUUUCACAUGUGUUUGAGUUAAUUAAUUUUAAAUAAAAUAAAACAAACUUUUAAAAAGGAAUGUUUUAAGCAAGUUACCAAAUUGCCACUGAAUCCAAUGCCAAAAGCUUCUCUUUCUAAUGUAGAAGGCGAGAAGUCAAUAGUCAAUUUCCAAAAAAUUAAAACAAAAUAAAAGGAAAAUAAAAAAUCUAUGUAGGUCUAUUGUCCAAAGAUUGUGGGAAAAUAAAAAAUCUAUGUAACGUGCGUGGAAGAUUUAAAGAAUGUCCAAUUAAUUAUUGUAUAAACGUUGGUUUUUUCCUUCUCAACGUAAUUAAUUAGAGAUGAUUUUUCUAAUUACUUGUUUACUAAAUUCAUAGCACAAAUCAUGCAAUCUUGCAGAGAAAUUUGUUAAGUAAAAAUAAGAUAAGCAAAUAAAAAAAAUACGAGUUUACAAUAAAUAAUAUAACGUUAUUUAAUUUAAACUUAUCUCUAAAAAAACAAUGCAGGACCUUACAAAGCAUGAGAUUGAAGAUGAGUUAUAAACAAAUCAUAACCACAGCAAGAUGGAGAGUUGAGGGAUUCUAUGAUAAUUAACUUUGAAUAUAUUUGCAUGGGGAAGAACGUAUGAUCCAAAUGAUAACCUCUUUAUGUAGUUCGCUCCCUCUGGGCUUAGAUGCCAUUAAGACUACGGAAAUGCUUUGUCUAUUUUUCAGCUUCUUUUCAUGUUCUUAGGACAAACCUUCAACAUAUUUGUUACAAGUCUCAUAUUCGCUGAAGCUUUUAUCGUCUUCCUCGACGCAUCUGAUAUUUUUUCCAUCUUUUUUCUUUUCUCGUGUUGGAUAACUAAGUCUGGCAUGGUUUUAUUGUGAGACUGAUAAUAACUAGAAGGCCAUUCCAAUGCCACAUUGGACCACCUGAUAUGAUCAUAGCUAGCAAAAUGAGCAAACCUGAUACCAAAUAUAGCAACUGAUCAUAAGAGCUCACAAAGGGUACUGUCAUUUUCACUUUUCACAUUGCUUGAUGCAUCUGUUCUACUAUCUUCUUCAAACUAGACAAGAAAAAAACUACAAGCACAUAUAAGUAAGGGGACAUUUGAUUUUCUUCUCCAGAAAUGAUUACAGAGAAAAUAGUUGUAGCCUUGUUGGCUCCACGGAAUAGCAGGUGAUUAUCCACAGCAUUUUUGAGUCGAACUUCACAUGUAAACUUCAUAACCUUAGUGUAGGAAGCAAUUCAGCUUUACUUCACAGUUUCUAUUCAAGUUGAUCUGAACUUCAACUUUAUGACCCUAAGAACGCAUCGACCUUGGCAUUUGUUCCCCUUGACAAAAACUUCAUGCAAAUGGGAGGUUUUACUCCUACUAGAGCAAGUAUCGCACUAGGCAAAGUCCAUAUCCCAUCCCCGCAAAUCAAACCAGAAGCCACUGCUGGCCCAAAAGCAUCUGCCUUUGCCUUGUCAAUCUUUUCCCAGAUAAAUAGAAUCAAGCUUCCCACACACA